rnacentral:rRNA from 1 species
UACGAAGGGUGCAAACGUUGCUCGGAAUUAUUGGGCGUAAAGCGCACGUAGGCGGCUUAGCAAGUCGGAUGUGAAAUCCCUCGGCUCAACCAAGGAAGUGCAUCCGAAACUGCUGAGCUUGAGUACGAAAGAGGAUCGCGGAAUUCCCGGUGUAGAGGUGAAAUUCGUAGAUAUUCGGCAAGAACACCAGUGGCGAAGGCGGCGAUCUGGGUCCGAUACUGACGCUGAGGCACGAAAGCGUGGGGAGCAAACAGG